rnacentral:lncRNA from 10 species
CAAACACCCAGUUAGACAGAAGGAAUAAAUCCUAGUGUUUGAGAGCAGAGCAGGGUGACUAGUUAACAACAAGGCAUUGUAUAUUUCAAAAUUGUUACAAGAGAGGACUUGAAAAGCUCCCAACACAUAGAAACGAUACAUACUCAAGGUAAUAGUCCAAACACCUUCACUAGAUCAUUUACACAUUCUAUGCAGGUAAUGAAGUAUCACAUGUACCCCAUAAAUAUGUAAAAUACUAUGUAUCAAUUAAAAAGUUGGCACAAGUUAAAAAAACACAAAGGAACAGAAGAAAUAUUUGAAGUAAUAAUGACUGAGAAUUUUCCCAAAUCAAUUACAAGACACCAUACCACAGACUUAGGGAGCUCAGACUACACCAGAAAGGAUAAAUAGCCCCAAGUCUAUACAUAAUUAUAUCAUAUUCAAACUGUAGGAAAUCAAAGACAAAGAGAAAUUCUCGAAAGAAGCCAGAGGUAUGAAACCACCUUACCUGCAGAGAAACAAGAAUAAGAAUUAUAUCAUUAUCUUCAGAACCACACAAGCAAGAAGAAAGUGGAGUGAAAUAUUUAAAGUAUUGAAAGAAAAAUACACUAACCUAGAAUUCUCCCCGUGAAAUUAUCCUUUAAAAGUUAAGAAGGCUGAAGACCAUCCUGGCCAACACGGUAAAACCUCGUCUCUACUAAAAAUACAAAAUUUAGCUAGGCAUGGUGGCACACGCCUGUAACCACAGCUACUCAGAUGGCUGAGGAAUGAGGAUCACUUGAACCUGGGAGGCAGAGUUUGCAGUGAGCCAAGAUCAGGCCACUGCACUCCAGCCUGGACAACAGAGGGAGACUCUGUCUCCAAAAAAAAAAAAAAAAAGGUGAAGAAGAAACAAAGACUUUCUCAAACAAGCAAAAAUUAGAGAAUUUGUACCAGUAGACCUGCCUUGCAAGAAAUGUUAAGAGAAGAUCACUAAGAGUUGGAUGUGAGGGCAAUCUGGCUGCGACACUGUCACCCCAUUGACUACCAGGGUUUAUUCUGCUUGGCUGAUCUAGCUGGCUAGGCGGGUGUCCCCUUCCUCCCUCACCACUCCAUGUGCGUCCCUCCAGAAGCUGUGUGCUUGGUGGAAGAAGACGACCAUCCUUGAUAGACAAGGACCAGUCUUUGGUCAAGGGUAUACGAGUAGCUGUGGUCCCCUGCUGGAACCUCCAAACAACCUCUCAAGAGUAAAGAAAAAGUAUGUAGUUCAGAAAUUCACAUCUACUUAAAGAACAGCAUUAGAGAAGGAAUAAAGGCAAAAUAUAAUCUUUUAUUUUUUCUUAUUUAUAAUUGAAAACAGUUUUCUCAACAUAAUAAUAGCAAGUGGUGGCUCACGCCUAUAAUCCUAGCACUCCGGAAGGCCAAGGCGGGCAGAUCACCUGAGGUCAGGAGUUCGAGACCAGACAGACUAAUAUGGCAAAAGACUGUCUCUACUAAAAAUACAAAAAUUAGCCAGGCGUGGUGGCGCAUGCCUAUAAUCCCAGCUACUCUGGAGGCUGAGGCGGGAGAAUCACUUGAAGCCGGGAGGCAGAGGUUGCAGUGAGCUGAGAUCGUGCCACUGCACUCCAGCCUUGGCGACAGAGCGAGACUCUGUCUCAAAAAAAAAAAAUAAUAAUAAUGAUAGCAAUAAUGUUUUCAGUGAUUACAGACACCCUAGUGUUGGCACAAUAGGAACAUGAAUGGAGCGCUCAUUGUGGCAGAGAUGGGGGCUGUACAUGAGCCCAAUAGCAGGGUCCCUCAUU